UGUUGAGCCGUCACACGG
rnacentral:snRNA from 1 species